rnacentral:tRNA from 1 species
CAGGACGUGGCCGAGAUAGAAAAGCACCUCACUUACACCGAGACCACACUCAUGCAAAUUGAGUCGUUCUGA